AGAGUUUGAUCAUGGCUCAGGAUGAACGCUAGCGGCAGGCUUAAUACAUGCAAGUCGUGGGGCAGCGCGGGUAGCAAUACCUGGCGGCGACCGGCAAACGGGUGCGGAACACGUACGCAACCUUCCUUCAAGUGGGGAAUAGCCCAGGGAAACUUGGAUUAAUACCCCGUAAUACUAUGAGGUGGCAUCACCUUAUACUUAUAGCUCCGGCGCUUGAAGAUGGGCGUGCGCCUGAUUAGGUAGUUGGCGGGGUAACGGCCCACCAAGCCUACGAUCAGUAACUGGUGUGAGAGCACGACCAGUCACACGGGCACUGAGACACGGGCCCGACUCCUACGGGAGGCAGCAGUAAGGAAUAUUGGGCAAUGGACGCAAGUCUGACCCAGCCAUGCCGCGUGGAGGAUGAAGGUCCUCUGGAUUGUAAACUUCUUUUAUCUGGGAAGAAACCCAUGAUUUCUAUUGUGGUUGACGGUACCAGAUGAAUAAGCACCGGCUAACUCCGUGCCAGCAGCCGCGGUAAUACGGAGGGUGCAAGCGUUAUCCGGAUUCACUGGGUUUAAAGGGUGCGUAGGUGGGUAUGUAAGUCAGUGGUGAAAUCCCCGAGCUUAACUUGGGAACUGCCGUUGAUACUAUAUAUCUUGAAUAUCGCGUAGGUAAGCGGAAUAUGUCAUGUAGCGGUGAAAUGCUUAGAUAUGACAUAGAACACCAAUUGCGAAAGGCAGCUUACUUCACGAUUAUUGACACUGAGGCACGUAAGCGUGGGGAGCAAACAGGAUUAGAUACCCCCGUAGUCC
rnacentral:rRNA from 1 species